GAUGAACGCUGGCGGCGUGCCUAAUACAUGCAAGUCGAGCGAACGGACGAGAAGCUUGCUUCUCUGAUGUUAGCGGCGGACGGGUGAGUAACACGUGGAUAACCUACCUAUAAGACUGGGAUAACUUCGGGAAACCGGAGCUAAUACCGGAUAAUAUUUUGAAACGCAUGGUUCAAAAGUGAAAGACGGUCUUGCUGUCACUUAUAGAUGGAUCCGAGCUGCAUUAUCUAGUUGGUAAGGUAACGGCUUACCAAGGCAACGAUGCAUAGCCGACCUGAGAGGGUGAUCGGCCACACUGGAACUGAGACACGGUCCAGACUCCUACGGGAGGCAGCAGUAGGGAAUCUUCCGCAAUGGGCGAAAGCCUGACGGAGCAACGCCGCGUGAGUGAUGAAGGUCUUCGGAUCGUAAAACUCUGUUAUUAGGGAAGAACAUAUGUGUAAGUAACUGUGCACAUCUUGACGGUACCUAAUCAGAAAGCCACGGCUAACUACGUG
rnacentral:rRNA from 1 species